rnacentral:lncRNA from 1 species
GUUCUUGAUCCCCAAUGCUUCGCAAGCAGAAAGCAAAGUCUUCUAUUUGAAGAUGAAGGGCGACUACUACCGCUACCUGGCCGAGGUUGCUGCUGGGGACGACAAGAAAGGAAUUGUGGACCAGUCACAGCAAGCAUACCAAGAAGCAUUUGAAAUCAGCAAAAAGGAAAUGCAACCAACACAUCCUAUCAGACUGGGUCUGGCCCUUAACUUGUCUGUGUUCUAUUAUUAGAUUCUGAAUUCCCCAGAGGAAGCCUGCUCUCUUGAAAGAACAGCUUUUGAUGAAGCCAUUGCCGAACUUGAUACCUUAAGUGAAGAGUCGUACAAAGACAGCACGCUAAUAAUGCAGUUACUGAGAGACAACUUGACAUUGUGGACAUCGGAUACCCAAGGAGACGAAGCAGAAGCAGGAGAAGGAGGGGAAAAUUAACCGGCCCUCCAACCUUUGUCUGCCUCAUUCUAAAAUUUACACAGUAGACAUUUGUCAUCCAUGCUGUCUCACAAAUAGUUUUUUUUGUUUACGAUUUAUGACAGGUUUAUGUUACUUCUAUUUGAAUUUCUAUAUUUCCCAUGUGGUUUUUAUGUUUUAAUAUUAGGGGAGUAGAGCCAGUUAAUUUUAGGGAGUUACUCGUUUUCAUCUUGAGGUGGCCAAUAUGGGGAAGUGGAAUUUUUACACGAGUUAUACAUGUUUGGCAUAGUACUUUUGGUACAUUGUGGCUUCAGAAGGGCCAGUGUUAAAACUGCUUCCAUGUCUAAGCAAAGAAAACUGCGUACAUACUGGUUUGUGCUGGUGGGAAUAAAGGGAUAAUUGGUUCCAGUCAGGAGUGUAGUUGUUGUGGGUACUUUAAGGUUGGAUUGGAGCACUGGUGAUGCUGUGGUACAAACAGCAGGUGUACCCUGGAUACACCGCGGGAUCGCCUGUCUGCAUGCACACCCUGGCCACAGCUCCGGAAGUGGUCCCUAAAGAAAGUUGUGACCCAAUUUACUCUGAUAAGGGCAGAAACGGUUCACAUUCCAUUAUUUGUAAAGUUACCUGCUGUUUGCUUUCAUUAUUUUUGCUACACAUUUUAUUUGUAUUUAAAUGUUUUAGGCAAUCUAAGAACAAAUGUAAAAGUUAAAGACGCAGUAAAAUGAGUUGCUUGGUGUUCACUGCUCCACGUGUAUCAAGCGCAGCGGUAAACAAAACCCCGUGUAUUUAACUUUGUUUUUUUUAGUUUUUUGUUUUGUUUUUUGCUUUUGUGAUUUUUUUUUUCCUUUUUGAUACUUGCCUAACAUGCAUGAGCUGUAAACACAGUUAACAGGGAAACGACUUGAGAUGACGGCUAGCUUUGUUUAAUGUCUUAUGAAAUUUUCAUGAACAAUCCAAGCAUAAUUGUUAAGAACACAUGUAUUAAAUUCAUGUAAGUGGAAUAAAAGUUUAUGAAUGGAUUUUUCAACUA